ACGUAGCAAUACGUUUGUAAAGCGGCGAACGGGUGAGGAAUACAUGGGUAACCUACCCUCGAGUGGGGAAUAACUAGCCGAAAGGUUAGCUAAUACCGCGUACGCUCCUUGGACUUCGGUUCAGGGAGGAAAGCGAUACCGUGGGUAUCGCGCUCAUGGAUGGGCUCAUGUCCUAUCAGCUUGUUGGUGAGGUAACGGCUCACCAAGGCUUCGACGGGUAGCUGGUCUGAGAGGACGAUCAGCCACACUGGCACUGCGACACGGGCCAGACUCCUACGGGAGGCAGCAGUAAGGAAUAUUGCGCAAUGGGCGAAAGCCUGACGCAGCGACGCCGCGUGGGGGAUGAAGGUCUUCGGAUUGUAAACCCCUUUCGGGAGGGAAGAUGGAAUGGGGUAACCCAUUCGGACGGUACCUCCAGAAGCAGCCACGGCUAACUUCGUGCCAGCAGCCGCGGUAAUACGAAGGUGGCAAGCGUUGUUCGGAUUUACUGGGCGUACAGGGAGCGUAGGCGGUUCGGUAAGCCCUUUGUGAAAUCUCCAGGCUUAACCUGGAACAGUCGGAGGGGACUGCCGGGCUAGAGGACGGGAGAGGAGCGCGGAAUUCCCGGUGUAGCGGUGAAAUGCGUAGAGAUCGGGAGGAAGGCCGGUGGCGAAGGCGGCGCUCUGGAACGUUUCUGACGCUGAGGCUCGAAAGCGUGGGGAGCAAACAGGAUUAGAUACCCUGGUAGUCCACGCCUUAAACUAUGAAUACUAAGUGUCGGCGGGUUACCGCCGGUGCCGCAGCUAACGCAUUAAGUAUU
rnacentral:rRNA from 1 species